rnacentral:rRNA from 2 species
AGUGACCCCCUGUUCGCGCAGGCGUGUGUCGCACACGCGUGCCGCGCACUGGUCUCAGAUAGCAACGAACGUGACCGUAUUCUAUUGUUGCAGUGAAAUGUACUUUCGAGUACGACCCACUGCUUAGUGUAUGUACGUGCUUCGGUGCGAGCAAUAUACAUUAAACUAUAGAGACCGCUGUUUCUUCUUUAAACCAGAGGAAGGAUACGGCAAUAACAGGUCUGUGAUGCCCUCAGAUGUUCCGGGCUGCACACGUGCUACAAUGAUCAUUGCACUGUGCAUCUAACCCAAUGUGCGUGGACGCCGCAUGCAUGUACUCCUUGUGGGUACACGCAUUGCUGAGCGACCACGCCGAACCUACUUCGAAAGUAAAAUUUCUCUGUGGGUAAUCCAUUAGAAGUAAUGACUCGCAUAGACCAUGGCACACCAAAUGUACGCGCAGGUCUACCCGGCUCGCCUUUGUGUGAGUGCAGUGCGUAGCUUGUUGUUUCGUACGUGCCACUCCGUAUUAAUUCGUACGUGGGGAUAGAUCAUUGUUUAAUUGUUGGUCUCGGUCUUAACUAGGAAUGCCUUGUACGGGUCUCUGGUUCAACAUACCACCCGGAAUACGUCCCUGCCCUUUGUACACACCGCCCGUCGCUCUUACCGAUGGAUUAUGCUAUGAAUCUAUAGGACUGCCAAAGUUGCCUCGGCUGCUUAGUGGAAAUAUAUAUGAAUAGCGGAU